rnacentral:rRNA from 1 species
UACGAAGGGGGCUAGCGUUGUUCGGAGUUACUGGGCGUAAAGGGCGCGUAGGCGGCGCACCAAGUCAGGCGUGAAAGCCCUGGGCUCAACCCGGGAAUUGCGCUUGAGACUGGUGUGCUUGAGUACGGGAGAGGAUAGUGGAAUUCCCAGUGUAGAGGUGAAAUUCGUAGAUAUUGGGAAGAACACCGGUGGCGAAGGCGGCGAUCUGGGUCGAUACUGACGCUGAGGUGCGAAAGCGUGGGGAGCAAACAGG